rnacentral:rRNA from 1 species
AUUGAACGCUGGCGGCAGGCCUAACACAUGCAAGUCGAGCGAGCGGCGGAAGGGGGAGGAAGGUAGGGGGACUGCCCGAUAGAGGGGGAUAACUACUGGAAACGGUAGCUAAUACGGCACACUAUCGGAUAACCCAUAUGGGAUUAGCUAGUAGGUGAGGUAAUGGCUCACCUAGGCGACGAUCCCUAGCUGGUCUGAGAGGAUGAUCAGCCACACUGGGACUGAGACACGGCCCAGACUCCUACGGAGGCAGCAGUGGGGAAUAUUGCACAAUGGGCGCAAGCCUGAUGCAGCCAUGCCGCGUGUAUGAAGAAGGCCCUAGGGUUGUAAAGUACUUUCAGUCGGGAGGCGUUACCGACAGAAUCCGCACCCGCUAACUCCGUGCCAGCAGCCUCGGUCCUCC